UGCCAGUUUGGUGCAGCCUUUUUUAUUAUUGUUGUUUGCCUCCUAAUUCCUAUCUUAUCCCAAUCAAUUUUACCAAUCACAUCCUUUUUCCUCUGGUGGUCAUCAAUACUAUAGGUGUAGUGUAUGUUCAACUUUUAUAUGCCAUCAUUUGAGUGCAGUAAAGAUGUUACAGGUACAUAUAUCUAGGUGGCUAUAGUUUUAACUAGUAAUGUGAAUGUGACUGGCAACAUUCUUUAAUGCCUGAGUGUUGAUACUUGUUUUUGUUAUUCUUCCAAAUACUACUAUCUCCAAAGUAUAUUCCGACUUGCAUAUCAUUUUAUAAUAUAAAGCAUGUGAUUGAAUUAUUUAGAAGACAAUAACUUCUUGGAUGCCAUUAAAUAAUAAUAAUAAUAAUAUGGUACUGCAGUUUGAAGUGUGAGAUUGUUCUAGUUUUCUGUCUUCUAUCUGUACUCUCACUCUCCUGCACAGAUUAACAUUCCCUCGUGUUCUCUUCACUUUUUGCCUGCCUGCCUUCCUGCUUUCUUCGUUCCUUCCUUUCUUCCGUCACUCCAUCUCUCUGUCUCUCUCUGUCUGCACUAAAGCACGCAGUCUCAAUGAGCACCCCCAGCCCUUUCCCCACUUGCACACCCAGUCCCAACCCCAGUCUGUGCCUUAUGCAACCACGCUUGGCCAUGAGGAACCGAUAAAGGAGAUCCAACGAAGCUCCAGCAUGCAAUACAUCAGUAAGUCAGGUCACAACACAUUUAUAACACAUGCAAUACAUCAGUAAGUCAGGUCACAACACAGUUAUAACACAUGCAAUACAUCAGUAAGUCAGUUCACAACACAGUUAUAACACAUGCAAUACAUCAGUAAGUCAGUUCACAACACAGUUAUAACACAUGCAAUACAUCAGUAAGUCAGGUCACAACACAUUUAUAACACAUGCAAUACAUCAGUAAGUCAGUUCACAACACAGUUAUAACACAUGCAAUACAUCAGUAAGUCAGGUCACAACACAGUUAUAACACAUGCAAUACAUCAGUAAGUCAGGUCACAACACAGUUAUAACACAUGCAAUACAUCAGUAAGUCAGGUCACAACACAGUUAUAACACAUGCAAUACAUCAGUAAGUCAGGUCACAACACAGUUAUAACACAUGCAAUACAUCAGUAAGUCAGGUCACAACACAGUUAUAACACAUGCAAUACAUCAGUAAGUCAGGUCACAACACAGUUAUAACACAUGCAAUACAUCAGUAAGUCAGGUCACAACACAGUUAUAACACAUGCAAUACAUCAGUAAGUCAGGUCACAACACAGUUAUAACACAUGCAAUACAUCAGUAAGUCAGGUCACCACACAUUUAUAACACAUUGGAUAACGAGGUAAGUUAGGUUAUAAUGCAUUUAUAACAUAUGGGAUAGGUCAGUAAGUCAGGCCAGAACACAUUUAUAACACAUUGUAUACAUCAGUCAGUAAAUCAGGUCAGAACACAUUUAAAACACAUUGUAUACGUCAGUCAGUAAAUCAGGUCAAGACACAUUUAAAACACAUUGUAUACGUCAGUCAGUAAUUCAGGUCAGAACACAUUUAAAACACAUUGUAUACAUCAGUCAGUC